rnacentral:misc_RNA from 1 species
UCCGGUUUGUCACCGGCAGUAUCCCAUGAGUCCCCGACAUAACUCGCUGGCAACAUAGGACAGGGGUUGCGCUCGUUGCGGGACUUAACCCAACAUCACACGACACGAGCUGACGUCAUCCCCACCGCUGGUCAGUGGCAGUUCAAGCCCAGGUAAGGUUCUUCGCGUUGCGUCGAAUUGAACCACAUGUUCCACCGCUUGUGCGGGCCCCCGUCAAUUCCUUUGAGUUUCAGUCUUGCGACCGUACUCCCCAGGCGCAGGACUUAACGCGUUAGCUACGGGACGCACCCCCAACGGGAUGCACCCCAAGUCCUGAUCGUUUAGGGCUAGGACUAC